rnacentral:rRNA from 1 species
AAAAACAAUCUCAGUUCAGAUUGCAGGCUGCAACUCGCCUGCAUGAAGUCGGAAUUGCUAGUAAUCGUAGGUCAGCAUACUACGGUGAAUACGUUCCCGGGCCUUGUACACACCGCCCGUCAAACCAUGAGAGUUGGCAACACCCGAAGUCGGUAGUCUAACCGCAAGGAGGACGCCGCCGAAGGUGGGGUUGAUGAUUAGGGUUAAGUCGUAACAAGGUACC